GCGUGGGACCUCCUAGUGGACGCGUGUGUAUCUCACACAAGGCGGCUAGGCAUUUACGAUGUGCUGGAUUAGAUCAAUUCUCCAUCGUCCAUCCAAAUACGUGCAAACAGCGGCACAACACUGUCGCCUUCUCCCCCCAAAAAACAACAACAUAGCACAGUCCUCUUCUCCCCCAGAUCCAGCCUCCUCGCGCCCUUGUCGAGGAAGCAGGCAGCCUCCGAGGCGCCCCUCUCCCACAGCUCGAACCCGAGUAGCUCGAGCCAGUCAUCCUCGCCGGCGAUCUGCAACAACAGUAGCAGGACCCCGCCGAAGAACUCAAACAACAACAAUGGCGCCGCCACCAUGGAGCCCAUAACUCCGCCGUCACACUCGCGUCAAGUCGCCCGAAUCUGCACACCGACACCCGCCGUUGCGACCCAGCAUGCCCGCGUCAGCAGGAGGAUCUCCGGUACUGGCCUCGACCGCCUCCCUCUAUUCGAUAACCCCGAUUCAGACCGCCCAGAAGCCUCCAAUCCAUCACCUGACCCGCUUCAUCUUCGAGCUCGUCCUCUGUUGUCGUCCGAUUUGGCCCACUGCUUCAUCCUCGUUGCUUCCUCUGCUCGCGGCUCGCGUUGACCGCGAGGAAGCCAGUGCCUCGUCCAGGCACGGCCCAGCAGUCGCCUCGCCCCAGUCUGCUCUGCCAUAGCCGUGUCCUCUGCCGGAGCCUCUCUCUAGUUCGUCGUUGCGGUAGCGCACGCACUCCAGUUCAGCCACUACGGCCUGACGCCGCCCCGCCACAGCGCGCUCCACAGUAUCCAACACAGCCCUCGCUUGCCGCCGGGGCGCCGCGACGCCUCGCCCCAAGAGAGCACGCCGGCCUCCUUAUCGUCCUCCGCCGCGACGCCUCAGUCCACCACGCUCUACAACACCCGCCGCGACGCCUUGCCCCAUUCCCCUUCCUUGGCUUCUGCGGCGUAGACGCCGGCGGCAAGAGGCGGGGCGUGCUCGACGGUACAGGCAAGCAAUGGAUAAGUGGUGGAGGUGGGAGGGUUUUUUUUUGCAAAAAAACGAAACGUUAUCAACCAGUACCACACUUUAAGUAGGAUUGAGGGUUAAUUUCUCCGAAAUGCGGGGACAUUUUUGCAAAACUGCCAUGAAGGACGAUUACUGGUAAAAUAAUGCCCGUGCGUUGCCACAGGAAACAACAAUGAAACAUUGGUUUCUAAAAUUCUUGCUCAUCCAUUAUUGCGAAAAAAAGAGUCUUUUCUUGUAAAGCCAAUAUUUGAGGUUAACAAGACUUCAUUAGGAUUUUCACUUCCGAACUGGCCCUAAUUUUUACCGGUAGAAGCUUUGGUGUUAACUUCAUCCAAAAAUAUAAUAUAUGAUCCGAUAUGAGCUUAUUUUCACCGGCAAUUGUUAUGAAGCUACGCUGCUCGCUGAAGUUGGUCUUUCGCAAUCGAUGGACGGUCUUCGUCGCUCUGAUGAAUCUUCAAGCUCAAGUGCAACCUUUUAAGGCGAUGGGUCUGUCUGCACGCCUCUUUCUUCCUUCUAGGGCUAUGCCAACAAGGAGGCAUUGUUUCUUCUAUGUGGGGGCUAUGUAUGGCCUCGAGCCAUACUGCCAUAGCAACCUCGUUGCCCCAAGUGGCUCAUCCCCGACGGCGGCGAGAUGCAACCUACACUGACGCAAGGACCUGAUCAUGUUUUUGUCUCUCAGUUUGAGGUCCUUUUUGUAAAAGUCCAUUGACUUGUUAUGUAUUUUUCUUAUUUCUUUAGGGCCUGGAUGUCAUAUGUGUUGUAUCAUGUUAUUACGAUGAUAAUAAAGCUUCGGGAUCCCUCCCUGUUAAAAAAACUCUGGUAAUAACGCCUGUAAAUAAAUAAUGUUUUUCACUUGUA